CCUCGGAUCAGGUAGGACUACCCGCUGAACUUAAGCAUAUCAAUAAGCGGAGGAAAAGAAACCAACAGGGAUUGCCCCAGUAACGGCGAGUGAAGCGGCAACAGCUCAAAUUUGAAAUCUGGCCCCAGGCCCGAGUUGUAAUUUGCAGAGGAUGCUUUUGGCGCGGUGCCUUCCGAGUUCCCUGGAACGGGACGCCAUAGAGGGUGAGAGCCCCGUACGGUUGGACACCAAGCCUUUGUAAAGCUCCUUCGACGAGUCGAGUAGUUUGGGAAUGCUGCUCUAAAUGGGAGGUACAUUUCUUCUAAAGCUAAAUAUUGGCCAGAGACCGAUAGCGCACAAGUAGAGUGAUCGAAAGAUGAAAAGCACUUUGAAAAGAGGGUUAAACAGCACGUGAAAUUGUUAAAAGGGAAGCGCUUGUGACCAGACUUGCGUCCGGUGAAUCACCCAGCUCUCGCGGCUGGGGCACUUCGCCGGCACAGGCCAGCAUCAGCUUGCCGUCGGGGACAAAAGCUUCAGGAACGUGGCUCCUCUCGGGGAGUGUUAUAGCCUGUUGCACAAUACCCUUCGGCGGGCUGAGGUACGCGCUCCGCAAGGAUGCUGGCGUAAUGGUCAUCAGCGACCCGUCUUGAAACACGGACCAAGGAGUCAACCUUAUGUGCGAGUGUUUGGGUGUUAAACCCCUACGCGUAAUGAAAGUGAACGCAGGUGAGAGCUUCGGCGCAUCAUCGACCGAUCCUGAUGUUCUCGGAUGGAUUUGAGUAAGAGCAUAUAGGGUUGGACCCGAAAGAAGGUGAACUAUGCGUGUGUAGGGUGAAGCCAGAGGAAACUCUGG
rnacentral:rRNA from 1 species